rnacentral:lncRNA from 1 species
UCAGGAAUAAACCAUCACCAACCAUCAAAAAACCACCCUACUGUAGAAAUAAAAAUAUGCAAGACAUGGUCUCUGUGCUAAGGGAAGUAAUCCAGGCAGAGUACUAAGACUGUUAAACCCAGGCAGUCAAAUGUUAUACCACACGGUGGGUCUGACUCCACACUAACAGAAAGAAAUGUAUCCAUAUGAGUUACUGGGUCAAGGUUUCACUGAGAGAAAAAAAAAAACAAACUGAAAGAAAACUCAAGGAUGCACAAGUACAGGACUGCUUUGGUCAGAGGAAUGGACAAAAGUAUUCUGGGAAAAAAAUGGCCUGAAGUUAGCAAAGAAGCAAGGUAGCCACACAUACAGAAGAGAGUAAAGAACUUUUCCCUUUAAAAUCACUCUUGCCACUUGCAACCUACUUCCAAAUAGAGGAAAAGAAGGCAUUUCAUCAAGAUUCCUGUUACUGAAAUGCCUAAAAACCCAAAGGCAUUUCUGGUUGUAACAGAAAGAACUGAAAGAACAGCCCCUGUGAGGCUACUCUGUAAUACCAGAAGAAUGAAGGGCAGCAAACAGGAUGGGAACCAAACAUUUUCUGAUGUGUUUCCGUAAAAACAGAGGAACACAUGAAUAAAAAAUAAGAAAAGAAUAUAAGCAAAAACUUCAAAGAACAUGAAAUGCAAAUGGCUCUGAAACAUAAAAAUAUGCUUAAUCUAAUUUAUAUUAAAAUAAAUGUAAAAUAAAACUGCACUGAGAUAAUAUUUUCCAUCUAACAUACCAAUCAAAAUCUGGAAGUUUGAUAACACACAGCUGUCAAGGGUCAGGAGCAACCUUUGUGAAGGACAAUUAGUAUCAACCAAAACUACAAAUGCAAUCCCUCUUCUCAAAAUUUACCCUACAGAUGACUUAUGUGUAGGGUUAUUCACUAGAGCACUCACCAUUAUAGCAAAAUACUAGAAACAACCUAAAUCAAUAGAGAAAUGGUUAAAUGAAUUAUGGCACAUCCAUAACACAGAAUCAUGCAACUGUUAAAAAAAAGAAAGAAAGAAAGAAAGAAAGAAUGGGCCAGGCACGGUGUCUCACAUCUGUAAUCCCAGCACUUUGGUAGGCUGAGGUGGGC